rnacentral:rRNA from 1 species
CAGUCGCCGCGGUAAUACCAGCAGCCCAAGUGGUGGUCGCGAUUAUUGGGCCUAAAGCGCUCGUAGCCGGGCCGGUAAGUCCCUUGUGAAAUCGGACGGCCUAACCGUUCGGCGUGCAAGGGAUACUGUCGGUCUUGAGGCCGGGAGACGUCCGAGGUACUCCGGGGGUAGCGGUGAAAUGUUCUGAUCCUCGGGGGACCACCGGUGGCGAAGGCGUUCGACGAGAACGGGCCUGACGGUGAGGGGCGAAGGCUAGGGGAGCAAACGGGAUUAGAUACCCGCGUAGUCCCUGUCUCUUAUA